GAUGAACGCUGGCGGCGUGCCUAAUACAUGCAAGUCGAGCGAAUGGAUUAAGAGCUUGCUCUUAUGAAGUUAGCGGCGGACGGGUGAGUAACACGUGGGUAACCUGCCCAUAAGACUGGGAUAACUCCGGGAAACCGGGGCUAAUACCGGAUAACAUUUUGAACCGCAUGGUUCGAAAUUGAAAGGCGGCUUCGGCUGUCACUUAUGGAUGGACCCGCGUCGCGUUAGCUAGUUGGUGAGGUAACGGCGCACCAAGGCAACGUUGCGUAGCCGACGUGAGAGGGUGAUCGGCCACACGGGGGCUGAGACACGGCCCAGACUCCUACGGGAGGCAGCAGUAGGGAGUCUUCCACAAUGGACGAAAGUCUGACGGAGCAACGCCGCGUGAGUGAUGAAGGCUUUCGGGUCGUAAAACUCUGUUGUUAGGGAAGAACAAGUGCUAGUUGAAUAAGCUGGCACCUUGACGGUACCUAACCAGAAAGCCACGGCUAACUACGUGCCAGCCGCCGCCGUAA
rnacentral:rRNA from 1 species